rnacentral:misc_RNA from 1 species
GAAAGUCCUAAGUGGAAGCUUGUAUUGAAGAAGCUUGUUUUGCCUUGAAUGGGUGCCUCCUUAUAUAAAAGUGACCAGGGGCAGGUUUGUAAUUUUGUAAAUUUUUGAACAGUGUCUGCUACUUAACUUUUUCACAUGUAAACAGUACUUGAACAGUGUCUUGAACAGUUCUUCCUAUCGGGUGAAUAGUGCUUGAACAGUUCUUUCAUGUUGUUUUCACAUGUGAACAGUGAAAGUGAACAGUGACAAGUGAACAUUGUCCUGUCGGGUUUUGAAAUAAAAUAAAAAUAAAAAAGCAGAAAAGUAAAGGAAUAAUACAAAAGUAGAAAUAAAAGCAAAAAUAAAAGAAAAGAAAAUGGAUGAUUUGUUACCACUAUAAAUUUCUUUUGUCAGUCUUAAAUUUUUUUUUUUAAGUGGAGUGGAGCUGGGACCACCCCUUCAUCCGUCCAUCAUGUUUUGUAGGUUAUGCCAUGUUUCCUCAUCUUCACUCAUUUCAUCUUCUGACGAGACAGACAGUAAGUCAUAAUAGCUUUCAUAUUGAAUCAUGUAUUUUUCAUACUGUGUUUGCAUCCCUCGCUUUAAAGCAGCCUGG